CGCAAGCCUGACGGAGCAAGACCGCGUGGGGGAGGAAAGCCUUUGGGUUGUAAACCCCUUUUCUCAGGGAAGAAGAAAGUGACGGUACCUGAGGAAUCAGCCUCGGCUAACUCCGUGCCAGCAGCCGCGGUAAGACGGAGGAUGCAAGCGUUAUCCGGAAUUAUUGGGCGUAAAGCGUCCGUAGGUGGUUACGAAAGUCUGUUGUUAAAGCCCACAGCUCAACUGUGGAUCGGCGAUGGAAACUGCGUGACUUGAGUGUGGUAGGGGUAGAGGGAAUUCCUAGUGUAGCGGUGAAAUGCGUAGAUAUUAGGAAGAACACCAGUGGCGAAGGCGCUCUACUGGGCCAUAACUGACACUGAUGGACGAAAGCUAGGGGAGCG
rnacentral:rRNA from 1 species